rnacentral:rRNA from 1 species
UAGGGAAUUUUCGGCAAUGGGGGAAACCCUGACCGAGCAACGCCGCGUGAGUGAUGAAGGCCUUCGGGUUGUAAAGCUCUGUUGUAAGGGAAGAACGGCGAUGAUAGGGAAUGAUCAUCGAGUGACGGUACCUUACCAGAAAGCCACGGCUAACUACGUGCCAGCAGCCGCGGUAAUACGUAGGUGGCAAGCGUUAUCCGGAAUUAUUGGGCGUAAAGGGUGCGUAGGCGGCCAUUUAAGUCUAAGGUGAAAGUUCGAGGCUCAACUUCGAAUUGCCUUAGAAACUGGAUGGCUAGAGUGCAGGAGAGGGCAAUGGAAUUCCAUGUGUAGCGGUAAAAUGCGUAGAUAUAUGGAGGAACACCAGUGGCGAAGGCGGUUGCCUGGCCUGUAACUGACGCUGAAGCACGAAAGCGUGGGGAGCAAAUAGG